CCUGACAGUGGCAUCGGCCAUGGGAUCUAGGGAUGCCACCGGAAAUGUCACAACUAGUUGCCAAUGCCACGAUUUCAGGCAGCCCCUACUGCAGUAAGGGAGAAAUAGAGAGAGAGAGAGAGAGAAAAAAAAGAGUGAUCAACCUCAAGGUUACACCGGUCAUCACUUCCUGUUUUGCGGCCAUGUUCACGGUGGCUGCCUCGUGCGCUGUCGAAUCCAAACGUAGAUAAAGCCUGUUUUCAUCCACGGGCAGUGAGACCGGAGGAUUUCUGCCGACCAAGCGAGGGUAAUUGCUGGAACGCUCAGUCCUUAAUUGAUCACUCGGUGGUUACAGCUCAGAAACUGCAACUUCACUACAAUCGACAAGUAGUUCAAGUCGAACGCUGUGAGGGAAAGAGUUGAGCCGCAUGCCAUGAAAGCUCCUCAAGAUACCUCCGGUGAGGAUGAUAAUGCUAACACGAGUGUUAUGCUAAAUGUGCAAGCUCAUUGUAAUGUGAAAUGCCGCCGUACAAAACCAAUCGGAGAUAUGACUUUUCUUCUUACUGUUGACUGUUGAUGUCUUAUAAACACGGUUUCAAGUAGUUUUAUAUUGUUAAAAAUGCUUAUAAAAGAUCGCUAAUCGCGCUAGCCGCGUGCUAAUCGCUGGCAUUUGAAUGUGGAUUUGGUUGUUUUAGUUCUGCUGCUAGCACGGUUAAGCUAGUUACCAUUGUAGCACAUCUUUUUCACCGUUAAAUGUGCCUUUAGACUCUGUUUAUAACAUAGAAAUCACUUGAUUGAGGGAAUGUUUAUCCUCUUGUCUAUAUGCAAAAUAUGGGUGAUUUAAUGCAUUUAAUUACCAACAUGUUAUAUAUGUAUGUUAUAUGGAUAUGAGAGGUAACAAAAGUUAUCUAACUGCUAAAAUGAUAAAUAUAUUAAAAUGUUUAAAAGGUGAUGGUUAAAAUGUUAAAAUGCAUAAAUAGAUUUAAAAGGUUAAAAAACAUAAAUAUAUGGUUUCAUAAAUUUCAUGAUUUUAUUUCUAUACUGUGAGGUGGAAAUACAUGAUUGAUUGAUUGUUCAUUAGAGGUGACCAAUCCAUGGUGUGAUGUGUGCAUAUUCAUUUACAUAAUGAUUAGAGUAUUCAUAUCCUUAACAAUUGGGUAUAUUUGAUUUGAUAUUUGAAUGGAGAUGACUUGAUCAGAUUUAAACAGAAAUGAAAUAAUAGUAACUAAUGCAUUCUGUACUGUAUGUAUAGAUUGGUUUUAGAGAGAGAGACAGAGAUCAUCUGAAUCUGACUCUAGCAGUCAGUGCCAACUGCAGAAUCAACGAAAGGACCAAGAGCCUGGUGUAGCCAGCCAUGGCGUUUUGGAAUCGUCUUCAUCCUACUACUUCAUUUGAAACACAGAUAAGAACACACGUAAGAACAAGUCUACCCAGGUAGUGAAGGAACACAUUUUACUGAAUACACACACCAAGAGCUCUCAUGAAUUCUGGAAAGAGCAGCUUUAUUUCCUUUAACUUUGAAUGAAAUCUCAUAAAGGCACACUUUUUGUUGCGAUUAUUUAUUUUCUUGGGCCCUUAUAACAUGCGUAUGUGCAUUUAGGAAACCGACUUAGGUAGGCAGGGUUUGUAAUUGAUUUUUUGUAUAAUAUAAUUUUGUAAACCUA